rnacentral:rRNA from 1 species
ACAUGCAAGUCGAGGGGCAGCAUAAUGGAUAGCAAUAUCUAUGGUGGCGACCGGCGCACGGGUGCGUAACGCGUAUGCAACCUACCUUUAACAGGGGGAUAACACUGAGAAAUUGGUACUAAUACCCCAUAAUAUCAUAGAAGGCAUCUUUUAUGGUUGAAAAUUCCGAUGGUUAGAGAUGGGCAUGCGUUGUAUUAGCUAGUUGGUGGGGUAACGGCUCACCAAGGCGACGAUACAUAGGGGGACUGAGAGGUUAACCCCCCACACUGGUACUGAGACACGGACCAGACUCCUACGGGAGGCAGCAGUGAGGAAUAUUGGUCAAUGGACGCAAGUCUGAACCAGCCAUGCCGCGUGCAGGAUGACGGCUCUAUGAGUUGUAAACUGCUUUUGUACGAGGGUAAACGCAGAUACGUGUAUCUGUCUGAAAGUAUCGUACGAAUAAGGAUCGGCUAACUCCGUGCCAGCAGCCGCGGUAAUACGGAGGAUUCAAGCGUUAUCCGGAUUUAUUGGGUUUAAAGGGUGCGUAGGCGGUUUGAUAAGUUAGAGGUGAAAUUUCGGGGCUCAACCCUGAACGUGCCUCUAAUACUGUUGAGCUAGAGAGUAGUUGCGGUAGGCGGAAUGUAUGGUGUAGCGGUGAAAUGCUUAGAGAUCAUACAGAACACCGAUUGCGAAGGCAGCUUACCAAACUAUAUCUGACGUUGAGGCAC